AGUUAGACACACUCUGCUUCUUCUUCAGGCUUCUUAAACAAAGAGCUUUUCCAGCGGGACACGGGAGAUCAACUUUCCAGAAACACGCGGAAAACGUCAGAACAACUCCACGCUGUAGCAUACAAAAGUACUCACAGUUGUUUUCUUCUAUCCUUGUCCAGAACAGGAGGACGAGCAGAAGGCAUGGUGUUGCAUCCAUCGUGGCUACGGACCAGACUGGCAGCCGAUUGCUAACUUCUCCCAGCGCUGAGAAAGGGAGACGCUGAUUGGCUGAUAGAGUCGCAAGUCCCGCCUCUCGAGCGUUUCCUCGGUGAAUGGGCGAUGCUGAUUGGCGGGGGAAGCUGUCACAUCCCAACCCCACUGGAGCAACUCUAGCAGUGCUGAGAAUAUCUGCUGCCAUUUCAAGCGCUGUUCCAUUAGUCUGAAACCACGGCUCACCUUACUGAGACCCAGCCUUCAACCUUCAAGAGUUGAGUGGCUGCCGGUUGGAAUACAUGGAAGGAGAAGAAAUGGAGGAUCAUACCCAGCAUGCAUCACAGCAGCUUCCUGUCCUCGAAGGCCAUUGCUACAGGAACUUCACCAACGGAAGGAAUGAGCAAGGGAGCAUUUCAAGCUAGAACAUGGUUGAUAGAUAUCGCUUAGUAUCCAAAUUUCUAUACACUGUACCUUUAAAUGCAUAUGAAGCUGACCUCUGUCUGACCGAGAAAACCGACUCCUCGGGAGAACUGCUUUGAUGAGAUGUCACUGCACAUUCAAUCAAGUGCCUCCUUUCUCCCCUGUGUAUUUUAAGCACCUUAGAUCUGUUCCUGCACUGCAAAGACCUGGAGCUGGCACCAUCCUUCUCUCACAAGUAGAGCAUAUUUGAUCUAUGACAUUCUCAGGCUGGAAACGUAGACAUAUAAAAUGAAAAGUUAAGCCAUACACUGACAAGAGUGAGGGAUGACGAGAGCAGGAGAAAUUUUCAAAUCAAAGGCAGAGGGGUUUUUUAUGUGGAUUCAUGAAAGUAUGAUACUUUAAACCAGCGUUAAGGAGAAAGGGAAAGAAACAUGGUUGAAUGCUCUUUUUACCUUGACUGCUUUUUCAAUAUCUCACAAUUUGCUUUGAUCAGUGUUUUGGUUUUUUAUUUUUUAGAUCUCAACUUGUGUUGUUUGUCUGGUGCAUAAAUGAUUCUCUUCUGAUCUUUCAUGUGAUGAUUUAAAAUGAGAAAGUAAGUGAGUUCAAACCUGAUAUAACAGAAUCAAAAGAGCCGGCAGUCAAUUUGGUCAGUUGAUUAUGAAAAGUUUUCAUUGAAGUGGAUUCAAUUAUGUUGAGAGAACAGAUUUUCAUUUGUAACAAUCAAAUACAUACAAUGCUGAUUCUGAUAAUUAGAAAACCCAAAAAAAUUUUAACAGGAAAAACAAAUGUUCCCAAUGUGGAACAGACAGUCUAAUACACUAAUAUGGUUUUAUUAUGAAAGUCUCUUGGUAGUUUCUGCUAAAGUACAUAAAUGUUCUUAAAAUAAUUGUAAUUUUUUUCCUUGCUUUAAUGAAA